rnacentral:rRNA from 1 species
ACUCCUACGGGAGGCAGCAGUGGGGAAUCUUCCACAAUGGGGGAAACCCUGAUGGAGCAACGCCGCGUGCAGGAGAAUCCCUUCGGGUGUAAACUGCUUUUAUCGUGACGAAUAUGACG